GUCGCCCUCGUCUAGUGGUUAGGACAACGGGUUUUCAUCCCGUCAACACGAGUUCGAUCCUCGUGGGCGAUG
rnacentral:tRNA from 2 species